rnacentral:rRNA from 1 species
CCUACGGGAGGCAGCAGUGGGGAAUAUUGGACAAUGGGCGAAAGCCUGAUCCAGCCAUGCCGCGUGUGUGAAGAAGGUCUUCGGAUUGUAAAGCACUUUAAGUUGGGAGGAAGGGCAGUAAGNUAAUACCUUGCUGUUUUGACGUUACCGACAGAAUAAGCACCG